rnacentral:pre_miRNA from 1 species
ACUUGGAAAAUGUCAAAAUUAGACUCGUCUAUUGGGCUAAAUUUUUUAUCACAAAUUUAGCCCAAUAGACGAGUCUAAUUUUGACAUUUUCCAA